rnacentral:rRNA from 1 species
AACGAACGCUGGCGGCAGGCCUAACACAUGCAAGUCGGGCGAACCCUUCGGGGUUAGCGGCGGACGGGUUAGUAACGCGUGGGAAUAUGCCCAGAGGUACGGAAUAGCCUCGGGAAACUGAGAGUAAUACCGUAUGUGCCCUUCGGGGGAAAGAUUUAUCGCCUUUGGAUUAGCCCGCGUUGGAUUAGGUAGUUGGUGGGGUAAUGGCCUACCAAGCCGACGAUCCAUAGCUGGUUUGAGAGGAUGAUCAGCAACACUGGGACUGAGACACGGCCCAGACUCCUACGGGAGGCAGCAGUGGGGAAUCUUAGACAAUGGGGGAACCCUGAUCUAGCCAUGCCGCGUGGACGAUGAAGGCCUUAGGGUUGUAAAGUCCUUUCAGCUGGGAAGAUAAUGACGGUACCAGCAGAGGAAGCCCCGGCUAACUCCGUGCCAGCAGCCGCCGUAAGAC